rnacentral:rRNA from 1 species
AGCGAACGCUGGCGGCAGGCCUAACACAUGCAAGUCGAACGAACUCUUCGGAGUUAGUGGCGGACGGGUGAGUAACACGUGGGAACGUGCCUUUAGGUUCGGAAUAACUCAGGGAAACUUGUGCUAAUACCGAAUGUGCCCUUCGGGGGAAAGAUUUAUCGCCUUUAGAGCGGCCCGCGUCUGAUUAGCUAGUUGGUGAGGUAAAGGCUCACCAAGGCGACGUUCAGUAGCUGGUCUGAGAGGAUGAUCAGCCACAUUGGGACUGAGACACGGCCCAAACUCCUACGGGAGGCAGCAGUGGGGAAUCUUGCGCAAUGGGCGAAAGCCUGACGCAGCCAUGCCGCGUGAAUGAUGAAGGUCUUAGGAUUGUAAAAUUCUUUCACCGGGGACGAUAAUGACGGUACCCGGAGAAGAAGCCCCGGCUAACUUCGUG